GACGAACGCUGGCGGCGUGCUUAACACAUGCAAGUCGAACGGAAAGGCCCUGCUUUUGUGGGGUGCUCGAGUGGCGAACGGGUGAGUAACACGUGAGUAACCUGCCCUUGACUUUGGGAUAACUUCAGGAAACUGGGGCUAAUACCGGAUAGGAGCUCCUGCUGCAUGGUGGGGGUUGGAAAGUUUCGGCGGUUGGGGAUGGACUCGCGGCUUAUCAGCUUGUUGGUGGGGUAGUGGCUUACCAAGGCUUUGACGGGUAGCCGGCCUGAGAGGGUGACCGGCCACAUUGGGACUGAGAUACGGCCCAGACUGCUACGGGAGGCAGCAGUGGGGAGUAUUACACAAUGGGCGGAAGCCUGAUGCAGAAACGCCGCGUGCGGGAUGACGGCCUUCGGGUUGUGAACCGCUUUCGCCUGUGACGAAGCGUGAGUGACGGUAAUGGGUAAAGAAGCACCGGCUAACUACGUG
rnacentral:rRNA from 1 species